rnacentral:rRNA from 1 species
CAGUCGCCGCGGUAAUACGGAGGGGGCUAGCGUUGUUCGGAAUUACUGGGCGUAAAGCGCACGUAGGCGGCUUGGUAAGUUAGAGGUGAAAGCCUGGAGCUCAACUCCAGAAUUGCCUUUAAGACUGCCGAGCUAGCAGGUGAGAGAGGUAAGUGGAAUUCCGAGUGUAGAGGUGAAAUUCGUAGAUAUUCGGAAGAACACCAGUGGCGAAGGCGGCUUACUGGCUCAUACUGGACGCUGAGGUGCGAAAGCGUGGGGAGCAAACAGGAUUAGAUACCCGCGUAGUCCCUGUCUCUUAUAC